AGUGAACGCUGGCGGUAGGCCUAACACAUGCAAGUCGAACGGCAGCACAGUAAGAGCUUGCUCUUACGGGUGGCGAGUGGCGGACGGGUGAGGAAUACAUCGGAAUCUACUUUUUCGUGGGGGAUAACGUAGGGAAACUUACGCUAAUACCGCAUACUACCUACGGGUGAAAGCAGGGGAUCUUCGGACCUUGCGCGAUUGAAUGAGCCGAUGUCGGAUUAGCGAGUUGGCGGGGUAAAGGCCCACCAAGGCGACGAUCCGUAGCUGGUCUGAGAGGAUGAUCAGCCACACUGGAACUGAGACACGGUCCAGACUCCUACGGGAGGCCGCAGUGGGGAAUAUUGGACAAAGGGCGCAAGCCUGAUCCAGCCCUACCGCGUGGGUGAAGGAGGCCUUCGGGUUGUAAAGCCCUUUUGUUGGGAAAGAAAAGCAGCAGGUUAAUACCCCGCUGUUCUGACGGUACCCAAAGAAUAAGCACCGGCUAACUUCGUG
rnacentral:rRNA from 1 species